UGGGGAAUAUUGCACAAUGGAGGGAACUCUGAUGCAGCGACGCCGCGUGAACGAAGAAGGCUUUCGAGUCGUAAAGUUCUUUUAUAUGGGAAGAUAAUGACGGUACCAUAAGAAAAAGCCCCGGCUAACUACGUGCCAGCAGCCGCGGUAAUACGUAGGGGGCUAGCGUUGUCCGGAAUCACUGGGCGUAAAGGGUUCGCAGGCGGAAAUGCAAGUCAGGUGUAAAAGGCAGUAGCUUAACUACUGUAAGCAUUUGAAACUGCAUAUCUUGAGAAGAGUAGAGGUAAGUGGAAUUUUUAGUGUAGCGGUGAAAUGCGCAGAUAUUUGGAAGAACACCGGUGGCGAAGGCGGCCUUCUGGGCCGCGACUGACGCUGAGGCGCGAAAGCUAGGGGAGCAAACAGG
rnacentral:rRNA from 1 species